UACGGAGGGUGCGAGCGUUGUCCGGAAUCAUUGGGCGUAAAGAGUUCGUAGGUGGCCUGUUAAGUCUGGUGUUAAAUGCAGAUGCUCAACAUCUGUUCGGCACUGGAUACUGGCAAGCUUGAAUGCGGUAGAGGUAAAGGGAAUUCCUGGUGUAGCGGUGAAAUGCGUAGAUAUCAGGAGGAACAUCGGUGGCGUAAGCGCUUUACUGGGCCGUAAUUGACACUGAGGAACGAAAGCCAGGGUAGCAAAUGGG
rnacentral:rRNA from 1 species